GAGAGAUUUGGGGCUUUAAGAUCAGAAAAACCUGGGUUUAAAUCCUGGCUCAGCCAAUACUAAGCUUUGUGACUUUGGCCAAGCCAGUCUCUGAUCCUCAAUAUCCUUACCUGUAAAAUGGGGGUAACAAUAACUUCCCCAAGGGUAUCUUAUGAACCUAUGUUAGGUGGUAUUGAGUCCAUGGUAGAUGCCAAGCAGUGUAGAUUUCUUCUCUUUUCUGGAUGCUGUUCCCUCUGAGCCCAGUGCCUGCCUGGAAAACUUUCCCACAGGAUCCUUCUCCAACUCGGCUGCCCACUGCUAAUGCUGCCAUCGAAGGAAAGAAGCCCUAAUGGUAGGAAACUGGGCACUUGGCAUGUGCAGUCAAGGCUAGUGUGGAAGGAAGAGGCAUCCCAGCACCUGUCAGAUAACUCCCAGGAGGGGCUGGAAUCCCUGUGGGUCAGCAGUUUGGAGAACAUUGAGGCUGUGGUCAGUUUGGAACUGACCCAGCUCAGCUCUACCUACAGACUGCACCUGGAGGGAGGGUGACCAGGUGCAUGUCGCUGUAGCCCACCCCACUCCACACCACUCCAGGAUUUGGGAAUAAGAUUGCACUCUGAGAGUUAAACUUAAAAAAUAAAUUAAUAUCCAGGAUUGUAUCUGAGAGCUCUCAAACUGGCCUGAGACUGCAGGAACACAUUAAUGUAUUUAAAGUAACAACUAAACAAGGAACUCCCGUCCUCUGACUCCACUUUUGAUUGUAACCUGGCUUCCAUGUGGCUUCCAAGGAGAGCGGGUCCCAGCGAAGGGAGAGGAGUGUCUGUUUCCACUGUCAGUUCCAUUUCCCAAGAUAUUACCAAAUCCAUCUAUUGAACAACUGUAAAUCUGGGCUGGCAAGAAUAGUGAUGAGAUGGGUGGCUGCUGGGAAUAUGCACAGACCAUGUCUCAUCCUGUGGCAACCCACAGCAAGCACAGGCUGAGUUGCCACAUCAGGUGGCAGUGGAGAAACUUCCCACUGUUUCUCCUUUGAACCCAGCUGGACACCACCCUGAAGUUCCAGUACAUGGAGAUAGCCAGUAAAUGAACAAUUGAUGACCUGUGUUGAAGAGAGAGGGCAUGUUGCCUAGGGUAAUGGCCACCAGCAAACACAACCCUCUGGAUGAAAGACUGUUGAUCAUCUCAGUCCGUGGAACAGAACAGGGGGUCUGUGGGUGGUGGACACCAGAAGCAUAGGGCCUGGAACAUUAGUGAACAGACAUAACAACUGAUGGCCACUAAGGACAUUUCCUGGCUCUGGCUCCUCUGCCCUUAAGAAUCCGGACAGUCCAUGAGCACUGUUACGGGCCAUCUCUUAGCUGAAGAAGUCAACUGGGCAUUACCCUCCACUGGAACAUGAACUUCCAGAUGCAAGGAGUGCAGUCAGUUCAUCUGAGAAUGUAUAUCCGCCUGCCCAGAGGCAGGGAGAAGAUGGCAAGGUGCUAUCCUCUCCAGGAUUCAGCUCUGAAGCCUCUUAACUGUGCACUUAAUAAAUGAAGCCUUGGCAGACACACCUUGAAUUAUUAAUGAAGUUAUUCAGCUUUGAUUGUUUCCUUCUUUUGGGGAAAGGUUAUUCACUCAAAUGCCUUUGAUUAGACUACACAAUACAUCACAAUUGGGCAUAUUUUAUGUGCAACUUUAUGGCGAUAAUAGUUCUGUCUCAUUUAGAAGCAAAUCAGACAUUAUGAACUUCGUGAUUUAUUAAUGUAUUGAUUUCUAUAAAUGUCAGCGCAUCUCACAUCCUGCCAGAGAGCCCGGGAGCAAUCAGUGAAAGGCCAAUAAAAAUGUAAAAUGAAACCAUCAUAAAAAGAGGAAAUACUGCCUGUUUCCAAGCCCUGCUGCCUCUCUAUAUUGUCUCAGGGUCUACAUCAUUACCAUGAAGGCAUCCCCCCACCUACAAGGAAACAGCCUUGAUGGUGGGGGAGGGGGCUCUAUCCUGCUUAAAUCUAUUUUAAAUAAAAAGAAGGUUGUAUGGCAGGAGAAAUAAAAAACAAGAGGUGAAGAGUGGGACCUGGAGGGGCCCCAGGGCUAGUGCCUAGAUUCCUCACCCUGGAGAAAGCAGGAGGAGGAGGAGGAAUCCCUUUCCAUCAGAUUCACCCCACAACAACCCCCCACCUUCCUGCUGAGGAACCUUCAAGACAGAGCCUAGAUUUUCCUGCUGGCGCUGAAGAGUCCACGCUAGGGCCCUGGUCUACCUUUCCAGACGAUUCCCCAAUUCUGAGCCCAGUACAUUUCAGCCUUAUACUUUACAGAGUACUUUCACAUUGCUUAACCCCUGUGAGGUAUGCAUAAUAUUAUUCUCAUUUUACCGAAGAGAAGACGGAGGCUCAGAGAAGAAAGAGAAAAGGUGACACUUCUGAGCACUGCCUAUUUGCAGAGCACUGUGACAUGUACUUUGCUUACAUGAUCUCACUUAAUUCUCUCAUAGCUUUAAUUGUUGAUUUCUUAUUAGCUAAUUAUUGUUCCUAUUUUAUUAGGAGAAAUUGAAUCAGCAAUUUCAGGAGGCAUCCUUGGGGUCACAGAGAC
rnacentral:lncRNA from 1 species